UAAUGCCUGGGAAAUUGCCCUGAUGUGGGGGAUAACCAUUGGAAACGAUGGCUAAUACCGCAUAACGUCUACGGACCAAAGAGGGGGACCUUCGGGCCUCUCGCUUCAGGAUAUGCCCAGGUGGGAUUAGCUAGUUGGUGAGGUAAUGGCUCACCAAGGCGACGAUCCCUAGCUGGUCUGAGAGGAUGAUCAGCCACACUGGAACUGAGACACGGUCCAGACUCCUACGGGAGGCAGCAGUGGGGAAUAUUGCACAAUGGGCGCAAGCCUGAUGCAGCCAUGCCGCGUGUAUGAAGAAGGCCUUCGGGUUGUAAAGUACUUUCAGUCGUGAGGAAGGCGUUGAAGUUAAUAGCUUCAUUGUUUGACGUUAGCGACAGAAGAAGCACCGGCUAACUCCGUGCCAGCAGCCGCGGUAAUACGGAGGGUGCGAGCGUUAAUCGGAAUUACUGGGCGUAAAGCGCAUGCAGGUGGUUUGUUAAGUCAGAUGUGAAAGCCCGGGGCUCAACCUCGGAACCGCAUUUGAAACUGGCAGGCUAGAGUACUGUAGAGGGGGGUAGAAUUUCAGGUGUAGCGGUGAAAUGCGUAGAGAUCUGAAGGAAUACCAGUGGCGAAGGCGGCCCCCUGGACAGAUACUGACACUCAGAUGCGAAAGCGUGGGGAGCAAACAGGAUUAGAUACCCUGGUAGUCCACGCCGUAAACGAUGUCUACUUGGAGGUUGUGGCCUUGAGCCGUGGCUUUCGGAGCUAACGCGUUAAGUAGACCGCCUGGGGAGUACGGUCGCAAGAUUAAAACUCAAAUGAAUUGACGGGGGCCCGCACAAGCGGUGGAGCAUGGGGUUUAAUU
rnacentral:rRNA from 1 species